ACAUACGUCGGAUAAAGGUGUUACACAGAUGACAAAACCGUCCCUACCCUGAGCAGUGUAAGAAGACAGCUGAGAAAAGAACUG
rnacentral:lncRNA from 1 species